rnacentral:rRNA from 1 species
GACGAACGCUGGCGGCGUGCUUAACACAUGCAAGUCGAACGGAAAGGCCCUGCUUUUGUGGGGUUCUCGAGUGGCGAGCGGGUGAGUAACACGUGAGUAUCCUGCCCUUGACUGUGUGAUAUCUUCAGGCAACUGGGGCUAAUACCGGCUAGGAGCUCCUGCUUCAUGGUGGGGGUUGGAAAGUUUCGGCGGUUGGGGAUGGACUCGCGGCUUAUCAGCUGGUUGGUGGGGUAGUUGCUUACCAAGGCUUUGACGGGUAGCCGGCCUGGGAGGGUAACCGGCGACAAUACGCCUGCGAUACGGACCAGAAUGGAACGGGAGGCAGUGGUGGGGAACAUUACACAACGAGCGGGCGCCUGAUGUGACAGUGCCGGGAGCGGGAUGCCGGGCUAGGGGUUGUGAACCGCUUUCGACUGAGACGAAGCGUGAGUGACGGUAACGGGUAAAGAAGCACCGGCUAACUACGUG